GACGAACGCUGGCGGCGUGCUUAACACAUGCAAGUCGAACGGGAUUUAGUAGACAGAAGCCUCGGCUAAAGAUUACUAAUGAGAGUGGCGAACGGGUGAGUAACGCGUGAGCAACCUGCCUAUGACAGUGGGAUAGCCUCGGGAAACCGGGAUUAAUACCGCAUAAAAUCGUAGAAACACAUGUUUUAACGGUCAAAGAUUUAUCGGUCAUAGAUGGGCUCGCGUCUGAUUAGCUAGUUGGUGAGAUAACAGCCCACCAAGGCGACGAUCAGUAGCCGGUCUGAGAGGAUGAACGGCCACAUUAGAACUGAGACACGGUCCAAACUCCUACGGGAGGCAGCAGUGGGGAAUAUUGCACAAUGGGGGAAACCCUGAUGCAGCGACGCCGCGUGAACGAAGAAGGUAUUCGUAUCGUAAAGUUCUGUCCUAUGGGAAGAUAAUGACAGUACCAUAGAAGAAAGCUCCGGCUAAAUACGUG
rnacentral:rRNA from 1 species